GGCAUCUGCAAAACAAUCAGAGAAUCUAUUAACAAUAAAGUUGCAAGACUCUCCUUGGCCCACAUGCGGAAGAAAAGACUCAAAACAAAAGUGAGCCUUCUGGAGGUUGCGGUGAGCCGAGAUCGCGCCAUUGCACUCCAGCCUGGGUAACAAGAGCGAAACUCGGUCCAAAAACAACAAAAAAGGCCUUUAUUUCACCCAGCUGAAACGAGUUUUUUUUUUUUUUUUUUUUUUUUUUUUUUGAGAUGGAGUUUCGCUCUUGUUACCCAGGCUGACUCGUUUCAGCCGGAUGAAAUAAAGGCGUCACUUCUAUUUUGAGUCUUUUCUUCUGUAUUGCGGGCAAAGGAGAGUCUUGCAACUUUGUUGCUAAUAGAUUUUCUGUCUUGCAGAUGCCUAAUGGUAGCUGGGCCAAGCCGAGAUCGAGCCAUUGCACUCCAGCAUGGGUAACAAGAGCGAAACUGGGUCUCAAAAAAAAAAACAAAAAAAAAACCUCGGUUCAGCCGGAUGAAAUAAAGCCUCACUUCUUUUUUGAGUCUUUUCUUCUGCAUGCGGGUAAAGGAGAGUCUUGCAACUUUGUUGCUAGAGUCUCUGUUUUCCAGAUGCCUAAUGGUAGCUGCGCCUAGCACUAAACAAAAACAAACAAAAAAACUCGUUUCAGCUGGAUGAAAUAAAGGCGUCACUUUUUUCAUUUCUUAUUUUUAUUUUUUAGUUUUUGAGACCGAGUUUCGCUCUUGCUACCCAGGCUGGAGUGCAAUGACGCGAUCUCCGCCCGGCGCAGCUACCUUUAGGCAUCUGCAAAACAGAGAAUCUAUUAGCAAUAAAGUUGCAAGACUCUCCUUGGCCCACAUGCAGAAGAAAAGACUCAAAAUAAAAGUGAGCCUUUCGGACAUUGCGGUGGGCCGAGAUCGCGCCAUUGCACUUUAGCCUGGGUAACAAGAGCGAAACUCGGUCCAAAAAAAAAAAAAAAAAGACCUUUAUUUCACCCAGCUGAAAUGAGUUGUUUUUUUUGAGAUGGAGUUUCGCUCUUGUUACCGAGGCUGACUCGUUUCAGCCGGAUGAAAUAAAGGCGUCACUUCAAUUUUGAGUCUUUUCUUCUGCAUAUCGGCAAAGGAGAGUCUUGCAACUUUGUUGCUAAUAGAUUCUCUGUUUUGCAGAUGCCUAAUGGUAGCUGGGCCGAGCCGAGAUCGAGCCAUUGCACUCCAGCAUGGGUAACAAGAGCGAAACUGGGUCUCAAAAAAAAAACCUCGGUUCAGCCGGAUGAAAUAAAGGCGUCACUUCAAUUUUGAGUCUUUUCUUCUGCAUAUCGGCAAAGGAGAGUUUUGCAACUUUAUUGCUAAUAGAUUCUCUGUUUUACAGAUGCCUAAUGGUAGCUGCGCCUAGCGGAGAUCGCGCCAUUGCACUCCAGCCUGGGUAACGAGCGAAACUCAAGUCUUAAAAAAAAAAAAAAAAACUCGUUUCAGCUGGAUGAAAUAAAGGCGUCACUUUUUUCAUUUCUUAUUUUUUUUUGAGACCGAGUUUCGCUCUUGUUACCCAGGCUGGAGUGCAAUGGCGCGAUCUCAGCUCGGCGCAGCUACCCUUAGGCAUCUGCAAAACAAUCAGAGAAUCUAUUAACAAUAAAGUUGUAAGACUCUCCUUGGCCCACAUGCGGAAGAAAAGACUCAAAAUGAAAGUGAGCCUUUCGGACGUUGCGGUGAGCCGAGAUCGCGCCAUUGCACUCCAGCCUGGGUAACAAGAGCGAAACUCGGUCCAAAAACAACAACAAAAACAAAAAAGGCCGUUAUUUCACCCAGCUGAAACGAGUUGUUUUUUUUUUGUUUUGUUUUUGAGACGGAGUUUCGCUCUUGUUACCCAGGCUGACUCGUUUCAGCCGGAUGAAAUAAAGGCGUCACUUCUGAGUCUUUUCUUCUGUAUGCGGGCAAAGGAGAGUCUUGCAACUUUGUUGCUAAUAGAUUCUCUGUCUUGCAGAUGCCUAAUGGUAGCUGGGCCGAGCCGAGAUCGCGCCAUUGCACUCCAGCCUGGGUAACAAGAGCGAAACUCGGUCUCAAAAAAAAAAAAAAAAAAAAAAAAAGGUGACGCCUUUAUUAAAUCCAGCUGAAAGGAGUCAGCCUGGUCAUAUCCUUGGCCCACUUUUGAAUGGCUUCUUUUUUUUCUUGUAAAUCUAUUUUAGUUCUUUGUAGAUUCUGGAUAUUAGCCCUUUUUCAGAUGGGUAGAUUGCAGUUUUUUUCCCAUUCUAUUGGUUACCAGUUCACUCUAAUGACUGUUUCUUUUGCUGUACAGAACCUCUGAAGUUUAAUUAGAUCCCAUUUGUCUGUUUUGGCUUUUGCUGUCAUUGCUUUUGGUGUUUCAGCCAUGACGUCCUUGCCUAUGCCUAUAUAUGGUCUUGCCUAGGUUUUCUGCUAGGGUUUUUAUGGUGUUAGGUCUUAUGAUUAAGUCUUUAGUUCAUCUGGAGUUAAUUUUAGUUUAAGGUAUAAGGAAGGGGUCCAGUUUCUGCUUUCUGCACAUGGCUAGCCAGUUUUCACAACGCCAUUUAUUAAACAGGGAAUCCUUUCCCCAUUGCUUGUCUUUGUCAGGUUUGUCCAAGAUCAGAUGGUUGUAGAUGUGUGGUAUUGCUUCUGAGGCCUCUGUUCUGUUCCAUUGGUCUGCAUCUCUGUUUUGGUACCAGUACCAUGCUGUUUUGCUUACUGUGAACUUGUAGUAUAAUUUGAAGUCAGAUAAGAGUGAUGCCAAUACCUUAAGAAAAUAAAAUCUAUAUGUUGGAAAACCUAAACUCACAUUUAAAUUAGAACAACCCUAUUUUUAUGGACUAUUAAAAUUAUUUCUAAGAAAUAAUAACAUUACAUAAUUAAUUUAUGAAUAUGUCAUUGUUAGCAUUUUUUUGAAGUGCCCAUUCUAUAAAGUUUAAUUGUAUAAGUCGCCUCAGAAGCAUCUAAUUUCCAAAAUGUUCAAUUAUAAGCCAAUGCAAGUCUAGCUGCUCGCAGCUCAAAAGCCAAAAUGGUGCAGAUUGUAGGUCUUCACAUCUUUUGAUGGCUCUCUUGAAUUACUGUCUACCCAGAGUUCCAGUUGGCAUCAACUUGACUGCAACUGGGUUGUAGAUUAUCUUACUUUGAGAUAAUCUCUAGGCGAGGGAGUGUUCUGCAGUUGGGUCUCCAUGUCUGGUUUGCUCCAUGCCUGGUAUACUAAACAAGUAUAUCAUUAGAUAAGCAUGCCUUGUAUAAGGGAGUGUCUGGUGAGAAAGGGAAAGAAAGAAUUUUAAGGUGCAUUUCAAAGCUAUGUUCUGAGUUUAGAGAAAAUCAUUUAAAAGGCAUUUUAAAGAUAAGAUAUUCAGUUAUACUCUCCAAAGUGAUUUCUUAUGCAAUAUUAUUGAUCAGUUAAACUAUGUUGCACAUCAACAUUUCUGCAUGUUAUUUUCAAUAAAUAUAAAAUGAUAGGGUUGUAAGAUAUAGAUAAUUACAUUUUACAUAUGCUUGGGUACAUGUGAUUUAACAUCUUCCACUUUUCAGAUACAUUAAGUGCUAACUCAUGACAAUGGCACAGCUGUAUAAUAUUUUUUGUUGUUUAUUUAUUGAAACAGGGUCUUGCUGUUGCACAGGCUGGACUGCAGUGGUAUGAUCAUGGCUCAUUGUAGACUCAACCUUCCAGGCUCAAGCAAGUCUCCUGUCUCAGCCUUGUGAGUCACUGUGGAUACAGGCAUGCACCACCACACCUAGUUAAUUAUUUUAAAUUUUUAUUUAUGUAUAGAUGAAAUCUCACUAUGUUACCCAGAUUUGUGUAAAAUAUUUAAUAGAGAAAAUACCAUGGACACAAACUGAGAUAGAAGUUUGAAUCCUAGAGCACCACUCUCUAUAGUUUCAAAGCAAGUGUGUCAGUUUGAUGUUUAAAUAGUUAUCCUAAGAUAAGAUUUUCAACAUGACACCGUGCCAGCUGGUCCUAAGCUAUAUAGCUAAUGUGUUUCAUAUUUAUAAUCAAAAAGUAUUUUUCCAAUUUAUUAUAGAGAACACAAGAAAGAAUCUGAACAGUAAAAGUAUCCCAUGUUCAAAACCUUUUUGUAAAAUUCUAGGUUAAAAAAUAUAUUUAAAGUUUUUCUCUUGUAGGUGUUCUCAGCUUCUUUACUUUUUAUAAGGGGUUAUAUUUCAUGGAUUUUAUCUAAAUUUAUUUGGCAAAGUGGCUUUUUCCCCUUGAAGCAUUUGAGCUAUGUAAACAUAAUGAAUACUUCAAAAGGAGACACUAUGUUCAUUUCUAACAUAAAAUAAUAAAGGAAGAAAGGAAAGGAAUGUUAAAUAGUAUUCUUGUGGUGUAAAAUUUUAUCCCAUGGUGAAAUUAUUUGCUCAAAUCUUAAUACUUGAAAAAGAUGCAAAGCAAUCAAGUCUUGCCUAUAAAACAUGCACUUGGUCAAUGUCAAGUUAUACAAUAUAUAGAAUUUGGCUCUUCCCAACUGAUAAUAAAAUGUAUGUGUAGAAUACAUAAGUGCAAACCAUAAAAGGUAUGUUUCAUAUUUUUGUAUUUGUAAAGAUGUGAUGAAAUUCCAGAAGAUUUUUCUGAAUUCCUGGAGAGUUCCAUAGUCACAUCUGCAAUACUGCAAUAUUUAAACUGUUUAUUGCAACACUGUGCUCAAGUACCUGCACACCCUCUCUGUGACAGAUCCCCCAAAAUUUGGAACUAUUGUUGUAACUAUACAAUUUUUUUUUUUGAGACAGAGGCUCACUCUGUCCUCCAGGCUGGAGUGCAAUGGCUUCAUCUCGGCUCACUGCAACCUCCACCUCCAGGGUUCUAGUGAUUUUCCUGCCUCAGCCUCCCACGUAGUUAGGUUUACAGGUGCCUGCCACUAUGCCUGGCUUACUUUUUUAUUUUUAGUAGAGACAGGGUUUCACCAUGUUGGCCAGGCUGGUCUCGAAGUCCCUACCUCUGGUGAUCCGCCUACCUCACCCUCCCAAAGUGCUGGGAUUAGAGGCAUGAGUCACUACACUCAGCCUAUAAAAGACUUCAUAUCACUUAUUCUAUUCAUCAUUGUAUAUAAUUGACAUGUCACAAUCACAUAUGAUAAACAGCUCUGGUUUUAAGAGGUUAAUAGAUGUCCUUUUAAAAAAUUUAAUUACAUUAGUUCUAAACAUAUCUAAUUCUCAGAAAUUCAGUUCAAUGUCUUCCUUCAUUCUUCUCACCCUAAAAAUCUGUUUUCAAUACGCUUUUCCUCUUUUUCCUCUUUCUGAUCCUGGGAGGAUGUUGGUUCUACUAACAGUAGUAAUACUGAUGAUAUUAAUAAUUUUGACAACAGUAAUUGAGCAGAAUAGGAUAGCAUUACUUUUGACCCUCAUUACUCUAAGUGCUUAGACAGGGACAAACUACAUUGUUACUCUUUAUCUCCAACUUGAACUUAAAAGCUGGUUUUUCAACUGCCUUAGAUUAUUUUUGAUUCAGAUUUCUACAUGCAGUAGCCACAGGAAAUGAGCACUGAAAUCAGUUUCAAAAAACACUGAUGAUCUCUAUUUAUCAUUUAUAUACUGUCAACUGGUAAUCUUUUUGAGUUAUAUUUCUGAUUCAUCUAUGAAAUGCAGCUACAUCACAGUGUUUAUGUGUGAAUAUAUACCUGGUAUGUAAAUUAAAUAAAAUAUCCAUUAAAUGUGUCUGACCAUUCUCUGUACAUAUUUUGGAAUUUAUAUAAUGUCUAAAAAGUUCAUAUCUCUCUUCCCAUGUUUCUUUUUUUCUCUUUUUAAAGUUUCAUUAGCUUCAUUAUGUCACCCUAACUAGUUUUCUAUAUAUUCCUUUAAUUUCUAUCUUUAGUCUUUCUCCUUUCCGCUUCUCAUCUUUUCCAUGGUACACUUAAAGUUAAAGUUUUGAUUUUCUUUAUUCAAAUGUUUUAUGUAGGCAUUCAUUAUCUCUCAUUAAAUAACUUUUAUCUUGAGUUUUCUAUUAAUAUCUCAUAAUAAAAAUAUUGCUUAGUUAUCCAGAUUAGAAAUUUCAUUUGAUUUUUUUAAACCUUUUUGUCAUUCAGUGGUUCUUGUCCCUGUCUACACUUUGGUCUCACCAAAGAAACUCAAAAUAAACAAAGAAACAAAACCACAAAGCAAAGUUAAGUGAAGUAAAUCAGUCGCACAGAAAAAAGAAAAGCAUGGCAUCACUUACAUGAGGAAUAUGGAGUGAUCAAAUUCAUGGAGACAGAAAGUAGAAUGCCUUCCAUCCCCAGGAUGAAGCCUAAUUGAUCAUAAUGGAUAAGUUUUUGACAUGCUGUUGCAAUCAGCUUGCCAGUAUUUUAUUGGCAAGAUUUUUCAUCUAUGUUCAUCAUGUAUAUUGGCCUGAAGUUUUCUUUUUUGGUUGAGUCUCUGCUGGAUUUUGGUAUCAGGAUCUGGAAACCAUCAUUCUCAGCAAACUGAGACAAGAACAGAAAAUCGAACACCAAAUGUUCUCACUCAUAGGCAAGUGUUGAACAAUGAGAACACAUGGACACAGCAAGGGGAGCAUCACACACUGGAGUCUGUUGGGGGAGAAUAGGGGAGGUACGGUGGGAAGUAGGGAGGUUGGAGAGGGAUAACACAGGGAGAAAUGCCAGAUAGGGUAAUGGGGGGAUGGAAACAGCAAACCACAUUGCCAUGUAUGUACCUAUGCAACAAUCCUGCAUGUUCUGAUCAUGUACUCCAGAACCUAAAGUGCAAAUUAUAUAUAUAUAUUUUUUUUUCUAAAAACUUAAAAAAAUAUAUGAAAUUUUUGGCUAUACCCAAAAGAAAACCCAAUCCAUUGAAUUUCUGUUUAGAGAAAUUAGAAUAUAAAGUUUAAAAUGCUUAAAGAUUUUUUAAAACUACACACGGAGUUUCAAAAGAUGCCUAGAACUCCAUCCCAACAAUUAAAUCAGCCUCUGGAUCAGAGUCCUGGGCAUCAGUAAAUUUUAAAGUCUUCUGAGAUUUAUUAUGUAAUCAGGUUUUGGAGACAGUGUUUGACAUUUUCACUUUUUUACUUCCCCAUGUACACAUUCAGAUAUCACAUUCUAUAAAAUCAGUAUAUUCACCAUUGCAUUGAGAAAUUGUGAAGUAGUACUUUUGUCAGUCAUUAGAAUGCAUUAAAUAUAGAUGCAACUCAAUUAAUAUUCACUAUUAGAAUAACAGAAAAAGUAUUUUAAAGGCCAGAGUGGUGAGAAAUACACAUUUGAUAAAUGCAUAUUGAAAUCUGAAAAUGUAAAUACAGAAUAUUAUUAUUUUUGUAGCUUUUAUUAACAUGAGGAAGCAGCAGAAAUAUAAUCUGAGAAAAAUAAUAUUUAAAAGGUAAAGGAUAUUGUAGUUUUACGUAUGUUGCUCUGUAUAACAUUAUUGGUGAAGGUGAAGAGCAAAGAUAGAUAAGAAAAUACAUUUAAAAAAAAUUUUUAGGAAUUAGUAGUAAUUAAAUGUUUUCCAAAAAUUUAAAAGGUGGAAAAGAAAACGGGAAAGCUGUAGUUGUAGAAUAUUCCUAGAACAUUAGCAAAUAAUAGACUGUGAUGUUACAUUAGCAUGUUUUAUUUUUUAUUCUUUUAGUAAUGAGAGUUUUUGAAUCAUUGUCAGGCGAAUAGGCAAAAUACAGUAAACUACUAAAGAUGAAAAAAUUGAAUACUAUUUUUCAACUGUCAAAUCAGAAAAGAUUUCAAAUGAUAAACCACGAAGGAAACGGUGCUGUGAGAUGAAGUCAUUAACCACAUGUGAUUAUCGUACACCUGAGAUAUUUCUGCAAAUUGCAAUGUGUUAAAAUAUCUUAGUUUUUAUAUUUAUUCCAUUUUGAUAUAAAUGCUUUAGACAUGUUAAGAUAAAUAAAAUGUGUACUUAAAAUUCA